rnacentral:rRNA from 1 species
AGAGCACAAGGUGAAUGCCUUGGCUGCAUAAGGCGAUGAAGGACGUAAUAACCUGCGAUAAGCCUCGGGGAGCUGGUAAAUAAGCUUCGAUCCGAGGAUUUCCGAAUGGGAAAACCCAAUAUACGUAAGUAUAUUAUCUUAUACUGAAUACAUAGGUAUAAGAGGCGAACCUGGGGAACUGAAACAUCUAAGUACCCAGAGGAAAAGAAAUCAACAGAGAUUCCGGUAGUAGCGGCGAGCGAAACCGGACCAGCCCUUAAGCUUAUUUUAGUCCAGCAAAAUAUUCUGGAAAGUUUGACCAUAGUGGGUGAUAGUCCCGUAUGCGAAAGACUAAUUUAAGUGAAAUCGAGUAGGUCGGAACACGUGAAAUUCUGACUGAAUAUGGGGGGACCAUCCUCCAAGGCUAAAUACUCUAUGCAGACCGAUAGUGAACCAGUACCGUGAGGGAAAGGCGAAAAGAACCCCGGCGAGGGGAGUGAAAUAGAACCUGAAACCUUGUGCUUACAAGCAGUCGGAGCAGACUUGUUCUGUGACGGCGUACCUUUUGUAUAAUGGGUCAACGACUUAAUUUCAGUAGCAAGCUUAACCGUUUAGGGGAGGCGCAGGGAAACCGAGUCUUAAUAGGGCGCUCAGUUGCUGGAAUUAGACCCGAAACCGGGUGAUCUAUCCAUGGCCAGGGUGAAGGUUAGGUAACACUGACUGGAGGCCCGAACCCACUUAUGUUGAAAAAUGAGGGGAUGAGCUGUGGAUAGGAGUGAAAGGCUAAUCAAACCCGGAGAUAGCUGGUUCUCUUCGAAAACUAUUUAGGUAGUGCCUCGUGUAUUACUGUAGGGGGUAGAGCACUGUUUCGGCUAGGGGGUCAUCCCGACUUACCAAACCGAUGCAAACUCCGAAUACCAAUGAGUACGAGCAUGGGAGACAGACUGCGGGUGCUAACGUCCGUAGUCGAGAGGGAAACAACCCAGACCGUCAGCUAAGGUCCCAAAUUAUGAUUAAGUGGGAAACAAUGUGGGAAGGCACAAACAGCUAGGAGGUUGGCUUAGAAGCAGCCAUCCUUUAAAGAAAGCGUAAUAGCUCACUAGUCGAGUCGGCCUGCGUGGAAGAUAUAACGGGGCUAAAUCAUAAACCGAAGCUACAGAUCUUAAAUUUAUUUAAGAUGGUAGAAGAGCGUUCUGUAAGCGGAUGAAGGUGAGCUGAGAGGCGAGCUGGACGUAUCAGAAGUGCGAAUGUUGACAUGAGUAACGAUCAAAGAGGUGAAAAACCUCUUCGCCGAAAAACCAAGGGUUCCUGUCCAACGCUAAUCGUGGCAGGGUGAGGCGGCCCCUAAGGCGAGGGCGAAAGCCGUAGUCGAUGGGAAACAGGUUAAUAUUCCUGUACUUUUUAUAACUGCGAUGGGGUGACGGAGAAGGUUAGGCUAGCACGGCGACGGUUGUCCGUGUUCAAGGUUGUAGGCUGGUGUUCUAGGUAAAUCCGGAACGCCAUAUAGGCUGAGGACUGAUAACGACCACUCUACGAGUGGGAAGUAGCUGAUACCAUGCUUCCAGGAAAAACCUCUAAGCUUCAGGUUAUAAGAAACCGUACCCUAAACCGACACAGGUGGUUAGGUCGAGUAGACCAAGGUGUUUGAGAGAACUAUGGUGAAGGAACUAGGCAAAAUAGCACCGUAACUUCGGGAGAAGGUGCGCUACGUUUGGUGAUGGGACUUGCUCCUUGAGCUAAACGUAGUCGAAGAUACCAGGUGGCUGCGACUGUUUACUAAAAACAUAGCACUCUGCAAACUCGUAAGAGGAAGUAUAGGGUGUGACGCCUGCCCGGUGCCGGAAGGUUAAUUGAUGGGGUUAGCGUAAGCGAAGCUCUUGAUCGAAGCCCCGGUAAACGGCGGCCGUAACUAUAACGGUCCUAAGGUAGCGAAAUUCCUUGUCGGGUAAGUUCCGACCUGCACGAAUGGCGUAACGAUGGCCACACUGUCUCCACCAUAGACUCAGUGAAAUUGAAAUCGCUGUUAAGAUGCAGUGUACCCGCAGCUAGACGGAAAGACCCCGUGCACCUUUACUAUAGGUUCACACUGGACUUUGACUUUAUUUGUGUAGGAUAGGUGGGAGACUUUGAAACUGAGACGCUAGUCUUAGUGGAGUCGUCCUUGAAAUACCACCCUUGUAAAGUUGAGGCUCUAACUCAGGUCCAUUAUCUGGAUCGAGGACAGUGUGUGCUGGGUAGUUUGACUGGGGCGGUCUCCUCCCAAAGAGUAACGGAGGAGU